rnacentral:rRNA from 1 species
AUUGUACGCUGGCGGCAGGCCUAACACAUGCAAGUCGAGCGGAUGAAGGGAGCUUGCUCCUGGAUUCAGCGGCGGACGGGUGAGUAAUGCCUAGGAAUCUGCCUGGUAGUGGGGGAUAACGUCCGGAAACGGGCGCUAAUACCGCAUACGUCCUGAGGGAGAAAGUGGGGGAUCUUCGGACCUCACGCUAUCAGAUGAGCCUAGGUCGGAUUAGCUAGUUGGUGGGGUAAAGGCCUACCAAGGCGACGAUCCGUAACUGGUCUGAGAGGAUGAUCAGUCACACUGGAACUGAGACACGGUCCAGACUACUACGGGAGGCAGCAGUGGGGAAUAUUGGACAAUGGGCGAAAGCCUGAUCCAGCCAUGCCGCGUGUGUGAAGAAGGUCUUCGGAUUGUAAAGCACUUUAAGUUGGGAGGAAGGGCAGUAAGUUAAUACCUUGCUGUUUUGACGUUACCAACAGAAUAAGCACCGGCUAACUUCGUG